UUCAGCACUAUGCACUGAAAAAAGGAUAAAUGAUGUCGUGUAAUAAUUGUAUUGUUCAGGGUUUUUUUUUUUUUUUUUUUUACACUGUUGUUUUUAUUCAUCUGAUGAUUUCUCAUCCAACCCUACUCUCCAUUGUCCUCUAGCGAAAUUCAAAAAUCUCUCCCCAAAAAUAUCAAUUCUAACAGUGAAAUUGAAAUCCUUAGGAGAUCGUUUAAUUUUUUUCCUCUAUUAUUGUUCGAAUAUCUUUCUUUUGUUGUUAAUCGCUUGUUUCUUUCGCCCCUCGCUUGGUUCAAAUUCGACCAACAAGAGGAAAAAUUUCACAGAAUGUAUACCGUAACACCUUUAUCCUACUUUAUCUCUUGCCUUUUGUUGAGUAUGCUUCUUUGAUUUCUAUAUUUCUAUUUCUCUUCGAUCGAUCUCUUCUUUGUGUUUAGGAUUUUCUAAAUUGUAUUGAGAUUUUCUGUCAUCUCCUUCUUUUGCUUGUUCUUCUAUGUAUUUGUUUGAUUUUUAGAUCUGCAUUUGGUUAAUUAUUUUCGUAUUGGGGUUUUUUCGAACUCUGCGCGAGUUUCUAUUUUAUUUUUUCCAUCUCUUCUUUCUACAUAUGUGUAUAUCUUUGGCUUUUUUCUUACCUCUAUUUUUAUUUGUUUGAUGUGUUUUGGGUUUUUCUCAGAUUUGUUCUACAUGGUUAAAUUAAAUUUAUGCGAGUUGCUCAUUACAUCCAUUCACUAUGAAAUUACUAAAUUAACUAUUGCUUUUGCUGUUGUAUGAGGCUGUUGUUAAAUAAUUUCAAGCUAGAUGUGAAAAAACCAAUUUUCCUGUGAUUGAUAUAGUAAGUAUUCAUGAUCAGUUUCCAUUUCAAAUAAUUUAUUAUGGUUCAUUAUUACUUCCAAUAUUGUAAACUGAUUAUUAUUGUAUUAUAACUGUUGAACUACUUAAAAUUUAUUCCUUUCAAAAGUAGCCUCGGCGAUCCAUUGCACCCAUUUAGCUGAAAUUAGAACUUGUAGUGUAGUUUUCACAUACUUUUAAAAAUUAAUAUUAUUUUCACAUAAUGGAUAAUUGUUUAUUAUGAGAUUGUUAAAGAGUGUUUCUUUUGCUUCUCAAUUCUAAUUAUUAGCUAUUUAUCUUUAUUGACUUCAAGCUAUUAUUAAGAAGAAAUGUAGCCUAAAUGCUACCAAUGUUGGUGAUGAGGUUGGCUUUGCCCCUUAUAUUCAGGUUGAACAUUUUAUUUUGGUGGUUUUACUUUCUCGUCCUUUGAUUUCUACAAUCCACAUUUACAAUAUUAUGUCCGUUCAAUUUCACGAGAACAAAGGUCUUCAAUUGAUCAGGACGACCAUUGCUAAAGCAUGUUAUGCAGCAAAAGUUCAUUCUCCCCUUUUCUUUUCAUUUAUGUGUUUGGUUCGUUCAAUGUUCUAUAAUCACCUUGUAUUUCUUCUAUCUUCACCUUGUGAAAGAGUAAAACUUCUAAAGCUUGCUUCUUCCUUCUACUCAGGUUGUCAUUGGAAUAAAUGUUGCUGCAUUAGAAUUUUAUAGAUCGGACAAAACUUAUGAUUUGAAAUUGUCAAGGCAAUGGAUGCAAGCAACCCUUGUAAUUAAUGCCAAUUGUUAGUUUUAAUACAAAUUUUCUCAUUAUUAGUUCUAAAUUGUUUAAAUUAAACAUAUUUACUUUAGUUGACAAUUUGAUUCUAAUGAAUAAAAUCUAACAUAACUAUCAUCUUCGAUAGUCAUUUAAGCUCAUUUCGUGUUAUCGAAGGUUCUGACCACAUUAGGAUAUCAGAUCAGCUUUGAAAAUCAGGUGUACUCCAACUUCAUUCUGAUUUCAAAUGCUCGGCUAAUUUAUUUAAUGAAUUUGGCUGUUGAUCUUGCCUUUUAUGCAGUUGGAUAUAAACUACUAUGACCUUGGCCUUCCCUAGUGAGAUGUUGCUAAUGACUUAAAAAACCAUUCAAAUUGCAUAAGCUACUUUUGAGUUUGACAUCCUAUGUUCUCGAUUUGAAUAAAUAUUGAACUUCUGAUAAUAGGACUUUGAUAUCUUCAUUUUCUCAUUUGCUUCAUAAUAUUUGCAGUACAGAUAAAAUUUUCAACAUUUGUAUUUUUAAGUUUUCUAUUACAAUUUUCGUAAAUAUGUAUUCGUUCUUCUUCUUAGUUGAUAGUUAUUUUGUAUGUUGAAAUUGUAGGUUCAAUUUAAUAAUUAAAUGUGCCACCAUUUCUCCUGGUAGGCACAACUCAUCUUAAAUUGUUCGACGCUAUGCGUUGGCUCUUCAAAUCAUUUUAUCUUUAAAUUAUGAAUCAGAUCAUUAUCCCUUAUACACAUUAAUAAAAGAGGAAAUGUGAUGUGCAUUGUUCAUUUUUGUCCCCUCGUGUUCACACUCAAUCAGCAUAGGCACUAUUCAAAAACAAGUUUCAUACUGUUCAUCAAAAUAUAUUUGGUAUAUAUUAUAUAAAUGCCUUUUGUACCUCUUGUAAUGCCAUUUAUACCUUCCUAAUCUCUUAAAGAAUUGUAGGUAGCCAUUAACUUCGAUCAGCGAUAAGAACGACAAAGACGAAGACAUGAAGAAUAAGGUUUCGUCGCGAUACCUCGAGUUGGAUAAAUUUUUGUUUUGGAAAUCUAUUUUCCUUCUUUCUAAUUUUACUUUCUAAGUUUAGUCGCAUUUUUCUUUGUUUAAAUUUGGACGUUUUGAGUAUAUAUGAUAGCUGGGCAUUUCGUAAAUAGCUUAAAUAGUUCUUUAGUUUUGGGAAUUCCAUAUUCUGAUUUUUUGAGGUAACUCUUUUACCUUUGUUUAGAUGCUUAUUCUUUGUUCUCCGUGUCUGUUAGUUUGUUUCUGAACCGAAACUAACUUCUUGUUCUUAAAUUCAUUCUUUUGAUUUGAUUUUUUGAAUUUCAAGUUUAUUCUUAUUUUUAACUUCUGUUGUUUAAAUAGUGUGUGCCAAUAAUGUUGUGAGAAUGCAAAUUAUUAGUUCCAUGGUUCAUAUAGUGGACCUCCAUGAUUUCUCCAUUAGUAUCCUUGCUUGACGUCUGGCAAACAUUGAAUUAGUUGAAGCAGACCUCGGUUUGGCUCCAGAUCCCAAUCUCAACAUCUUGAGUGGUCAUCAGGUAAACUGAGUAGGACAAAUACAAACUCUUCAUCAAAAAAAAAAAAAAAAAAAACAAUGAAACAAUAUUUUCAUAUGCAGUGAGUAUUAUUUACAGAAUUGCAUUAUGCCUAGCUUGUCUUACCUUUGCUAUUUGCCCCAAAUGUAGAGAGUUGCUUCUCAUGUUUUGUGAAUAGCCGUCACAUGAGGAAUAAAAGCAUUUAACAACUUGGACUAAUUCUAUAUUUGUUCCUUCCAAAUAAGGAAAAAAAGGAUGUAAAAGAAUAUAUUUUUCUUCUAAGUUGAUGAAUCUCCUUUAUUGAUCAAUAUGUGAUAUUCCAACUCCUCAUCACUAUUGAAAUCCAGAUGAUAUUGCGAUUAAUUCAUUUUUGCCUAAACUCAACUAUUUAAACAAAACUAGAUCUUCAUUCUUUAUUUGUUUUUUUCCUUUUUACUAUUUUAACUGAGUAAAUAUCAUUUCUUAAUACAUUUGGUUAAUUUUGGGGUUUCACUUGCACGCAAUAGCCUACACCGAAGGAGACAAGUACUAUGGGGCAAAAGCAAUUAUUAAUGUUUGGGAACCUAAAAUACAGCAGCAUCAUAAUGAGUUCAAUUUGUCCCAAAUUUGGUUACUGGGUGGUUCAUUUGGUGAAGAUCUCAAUAGCAUUAAAGCUGGUUGGUACGUAUAUUUUUCUCCAAAUUACUUUGUCGAUCAUAAUUUGUUGCAUUCAUCUAACGGAUUAGAAUGCAUGUUAUUUCAAGUUAGCCUUGAUCUCUACAGGGAUAACAACACAACCAUUUUUGAAUACAUACCUAUAGACAAUUUAAAAAAGAAUGCCAGCUCAUAUUAAAUAGAAGUUAAUUAUAAGUACAAAAACUCAAAGAAAGCAUUUAAUGGACGUUCUUAAUAGUUAGUCUUGUGUUUUGGAACAUGCUUAUAUAUGUGACAAUUAUGCUUCUCUUCCAAUCCAAUUUAGCACAUCGAGUAAAAGCUUCAAUUGGCACCCGAUGUUGUAUGUCUCUAAUAACUGGAGCUAAUUGGUUAUAUGUAGAGGAAAUUUUACUAUUAGUUCAUCUCAAGCAUAAAUAAAAUAGUUAAUCCAUAAGCAAGCUGGAGUAUAGUAUGAAUCCUACUAUAAAUUUCUCUGUCAAAAUGAUUUUUCUUAUAUUUGUAGUUUUUUUCAUGGGACAAGCUUUGAGAAAUCAUUUGGCAAUGAUGAGAGAAGAGAAAGAAAAUCCCAUUUUGAGAAUUCUUAAAAUGAAAGAACGACGAGAAUCGAUUCCCUAAAAAAGAAAGCACUGAACGUGUCUUCAAAGUCAAGCAUUCUCUCAAGAAGAGCAGCAGAAGUAAGAGUGGUGUUAAUGGCAACUUCGUUUCAUUUGAGGAUAUUCGGGAUGCUGAUGAGCUGCAAGCUAUUAAGGCAUUUCGGCGAGCCUUGAUGCUAAUUGCCAAACAAGUUUGAUGAUUAUCAUAUGAUGUUGAGGUUAUUAUACAACACUUUUGCUACUUUUAGUCAAAUGUUCGCAUGUACGGAUGGAAAUAUAAAUUGUAUCCUAGUUUAACAUUUAGAUGUCCUAAUUUUAUCCUCGUUACUAUGGAGGUAACUAGACAUCCCUUCCUCCUUUAGUAGGACAAUUUAUGAUUUUGCUGCAUUACUUUAUAGUUUUUCCUAUAUUGCAGUCGGUGGUUAAGAUUUGAAGGAUUGCAUUUAAUAGUCUUUCCAGAUAAGUUACUUUUCUAUUUCUUGCAAACAUUUUAGUAGAUGGUUGGAAAAGUAUGCAACUAUUCGAACUUUUGUCGAUAAUUAUCCUGAAGUAACAUUUCGGUCUUUUAUUUGAUAAGAGAUAUUAGGUUUUGUGUAGUCUUGGUAGUGUAAUAUAUUGUGUCAUCCAAAUGUUGCAGACAUUUCAUAAAAUAUUUAUCAUCAAGAUGGCCCAGGUAUUAUGCUACUGUAGAAUAUUGUAAAGAGUUUCUUGAUCCUAGGGCCACCACUAAAUACAUGUAUGUUGCUAUUUCUUCCUUUUUUCCAUCUGGAAACAUUAUUUUUCUCACUUAAAUGGCUGACUUUAAUUACUCGGUCUAUCUUUUUUGGAAUAUCUCACAUGUUCUUGGAAACAAAUAUAAGAACAAGUUGCUUGAAAUAAAAGAUACCAAGUGCAAAACAAUGGAAACCGUUGUUGCAACUUGUGAACAUUGAAAUUUAUUUCGAGAUUCUGACGCAUAUUUUUGGGUGUGUGUAGUGCUCCGAAUUCUUUGGUGGAACAUAUAUCUUUGCAGACCAAGGGGUUUGCCUUCGGUCAGGUAAACGACCAAGGAAAAUUCCCCGAGAUACAAAAGGUCCUUCCUAACAUGGGAGCUAUUAAAUUGAUCUACAAAGAUAAUAUAUAAAUACUUGUGUUAUAAUUUUGAUCAUGUUAAAAAUAAUAAAUGGCUCGAAAUCAUGUUGCAGAUAGUGCUUGAUGGUAAAGCACAACUGCCAGGAAGGUGGUUGAAAAUCUUAACAACAACGGAAAGAUAGUUUAUGCUAAGCCCCACUACUUGAUUGUAUAGACUAUGUCUGUUGUGCAUAUGAUUAGGCACAACUACACAAUAUUUAUGUUUUAUGUGAGAUUUUAUUUUUAUUUGGUCGUUGAAGCAGGUAAAAGGCAGUGACAUCUCAACUGUUGAAUUUGGUUCUGAAGAUGAAGAUAUUUCUUCACCAAAAGCUAUUAGGAGUUACUCGCACCUUUGAUUGACUCAUGUUCGUGAGGAGGUAUGGUCAAGCCUGACAAUUUCAAGAUUAGAUAUUUAAUUAUUUGCUAUUGAAAAUAAUGUUUUCUAUAAGUUUAAUUGAAACCUCCCUUAUUUAGUCUUGAGUCUGGUGGUAGCUUGUGCAAAUAUUUAAUUUGGUGCUCGUAGGUCAGUUAGUAUUUGCUUAAUUGCAACACAAGUGCAAAAUUAUCAAUUGCUUGAUAUCAUCUCUUUGAUUGGUUUAAAAGCAUCUAUAUAUACCCUAAAAAGGUGUCCAGUUUCAUGGAAUUCAAAUUUAGAUAAAUUUUUAUAGGUCGGGUUGUGCAAUCUUUUGCUACUAAAAAAUCAAGUAAAGUGACAUUAUUCAAGAGUUCAUUAGUUAUUUGAUAAUUAUUAUUUAUAAUGUCUAUCAUUUUAUUUAUGAUAUAAGGUGCAAAUUCUUCAUGAAAUAUAACUAAGCACACAAUUUCUUGUAAGAAAUAUUUUUCCUAUAAAACUAAUUUUCCUUACUUAAGAAAGGGAUAUCUUUACCAUAUAGAGUGUGAACACAGCAUAGAAAAGUGUUGACACUUUCUCAAUCCCUCACAAAAAUUAAUGUGGAGGAUCAACCUUUCUCUUUUGAUUAUCUCAGGUUAAAGCUCAUGGAAACUCUAGCUUGGUAAAUUAUCACGAUAUGAUGAGUAUGUUCCUAUGGUUGACAAAGUUGUUGAUUCUGGAUGGAAAAAGCAAACAUCACUUUCAAAACCUUAUGUUGUUAAAGGUUAGUUGCUUUAGAAGUUCCACUUUUGUAGUUGUCUCCAUACAUAAUAUUUGAAUCAGCCUACGAUCUCCUCAUGCUUAUUUAUUCAUCUAAUACUUGCUUCGAAGACCUAGGGGGUCUCCUUUUCUUCAGUUGAACCCAUCUUUCUAUCAUUGCAAAUGUCGCCUUAGGUGCUCAUUUUUAUUCUUAUAACUCUCAUCAUAUGCAGAUCGUGUUUAGAGGUUAUCUAUGAUUAACUUAUGAUUUUUCUUUUGUUGAUAGCUAUGCCUUAAUAACAUUUUGUUAUAUCCUGAUAUUAAAUGACUGCUAUAUUGGAGAUAUAAGAUUAGCUAUGUCUAAAUAAGAUUACAAUGACACUAGAUUAGUAACUAUUUUUUGAUUGCAUAGUAUAUGAUUUUUCCUUUCUUUGAUUUUUAUAUCUCCAGGUAUAAGAUAAGAGAGAAGGAAAAAAUUGUUCAGGCAUAUUCUUCUUAGGAUCUUGAAGAAAUUUUUGUAAGUUUAUUUGUAUUACUUUGAUCCUAUAUCAAUUAUUUAUAGAAAUUAUUCUCAAAAUAAACACUCCAUUAUUUUACCAGAUCCAUUUUAUGUUACUAUAAUAAUUUUCAUAUUCUAAAUGUGUUGGCUACCAAAUAUCUUGAUUAGGAUUGAGGUAAGAUUGGUGUAAUAUAGAAUCUAUGUACCAUAAUUAAUUUUAUUAAUAUUCUAGGUAAGCCACUUUCUAAUUUCAAAUUCUACACUAUGUUUUUCAGAGCUCCGGUAGAAUAAGAGGAUGCUUGAUAAACCCAUCCGAGAAAUUGGAAGGAAAAAGACUAUUUACAAGCACAAGGAAAGAAACUGAUUGUGGAGAUAAAAAAAAAUGUAAAGCAAGGGCAGAUGGUAAGUUAUUCUCUAUAGAUAAUUUCAUUUCAGUUUCUUAGACUUUAUGACUCUCUUUUCUCCCAUAGGCCCCAUCUACUUUAUUGCCCAGGUUGCUCCCAUAAAGACAUUUUGGAAUUUUUUUUUUUUUUUUUUUAUCAGAUUGAUUUUAAAGAUAGAUUCAUUAAUGAUAAUUUAGUGAAUUUUAAUCUUCAUUAUAUGAACCAUCUAGAAGAAACAAGCUGUCCAAAUUUAAAGCUCAAAUAACAGAAGUGAAAGGGAUAAUGAUGGACAAUAUUGAGAAAGUAUAACAAGAGGCAUCAAAGCCCACGCACAAGAAGUCGAUACAGGAGUCGUGAAAGAGACCUCCCUACAAGCUUUUUGGUCUGCAAACGUCGGCAUGAUUGCAAGUCUAUUUUCAUGUUUCUUAAAUGAAAAUUCAAUUGCUAUUAUUUCUUGUAGUUGUUCAACCAGCUUCAAGCUACUUUCUUGUUAUUGAAAUUACUUUAAAAGCAUCGAUAUCUUCUUCCCAAUUUUUUGAUUUCACUAUCACGCCUUGGAGAUAUAUCUUCCAUAUUAUAAACAUUUUCUUUUCUACAG
rnacentral:lncRNA from 1 species